rnacentral:lncRNA from 1 species
AGAUUUACAUUCACGCUAGUAACGGACGAAUACAUAAGCAUUCAUUUACCUUGAAAGAAUAAAGGAAUUCUAUAGCUUCUUACAAAUUCGCCUAUCAGCAACUCUCCCUGGUCGUUCAAAAGUUGCUUGAAGAUUCUACCAUCUCCAUACUAUGAAGGAGCGCUUCUUCAUUUCUUCAUUUUAUCUGAACCUUAACGUAUCCUUCCAACACAAUGUCCAUGGACAACGGUAAUGAGGUCGGCGCCUACGAGUUUGACCGGAACGCCCUGGACAACAUCGCCCGUCGGCGACAAGAUCGCCCGCGCAAGAAAUACAGCCAGCAUCGUCCAGUGGAUGAGUUUGGAGUAC